AUUGAACGCUGGCGGCAGGCCUAACACAUGCAAGUCGAGCGGAUGAAGGGAGCUUGCUCCUGGAUUCAGCGGCGGACGGGUGAGUAAUGCCUAGGAAUCUGCCUGGUAGUGGGGGAUAACGUCCGGAAACGGGCGCUAAUACCGCAUACGUCCUGAGGGAGAAAGUGGGGGAUCUUCGGACCUCACGCUAUCAGAUGAGCCUAGGUCGGAUUAGCUAGUUGGUGGGGUAAAGGCCUACCAAGGCGACGAUCCGUAACUGGUCUGAGAGGAUGAUCAGUCACACUGGAACUGAGACACGGUCCAGACUCCUACGGGAGCCAGCAGUGGGGAAUAUUGGACAAUGGGCGAAAGCCUGAUCCAGCCAUGCCGCGUGUGUGAAGAAGGUCUUCGGAUUGUAAAGCACUUUAAGUUGGGAGGAAGGGCAGUAAGUUAAUACCUUGCUGUUUUGACGUUACCAACAGAAUAAGCACCGGCUAACUUCGUG
rnacentral:rRNA from 1 species